rnacentral:rRNA from 1 species
UACGAAGGGGGCUAGCGUUGUUCGGAAUCAUUGGGCGUAAAGCGCGUGUAGGCGGCCCGGUAAGUCCGCUGUGAAAGUCGGGGGCUCAACCCUCGAAUGCCGGUGGAUACUGUCGGGCUAGAGUGCGGGAGAGGCGAGUGGAAUUCCUGGUGUAGCGGUGAAAUGCGCAGAUAUCAGGAGGAACACCAAUUGCGAAGGCAGCUCGCUGGAACGUAACUGACGCUGAGACGCGAAAGCGUGGGGAGCAAACAGG